UGGACGUGGCGUUCCGCGCCGGCGGAGGUGCGUCAGGGCGUUCCCAGACGCCACGUCCAGGAAGGGGUGUGGCGCAGGCGCGCUCAGGUCGGAAAGAGGUCACCGUGUGGCGUCGGGGCGCGAGCCGCGAGGCUGGGGGUGGCGUGUUCGAAUCCCUCCGCCGUGUGGUGCGACCAGAUUCUCGUGCGACAGCCACCCGUCCAGCUGACCUGGCUCCAAUUUCUACUGCUGUGGCGAAAAAAAGUCGGGUUGCACAGAAGAGAUAAUAAAGGAAUUAACAGAAAUUACAUCUGUGAUUCAAGCUGCGCUUCAGACAAAUAAUACUUUACCAGCUGAUAAUACUAAUGAUGUGAUCAUGCAGAGAGAGUAUCACUAGUCAGAGAACAGCAACAUCGUACACAACAAUGCAGAAAUAAUUUGCGAGCGGUAUUUAAUAUAAUUCUAGUCUUGUACACAUUCCUUACAUAGCAGCAAAAAACUGAAGUAAAAGGAAUGACAAAUUUUCUCUUGUGGAAAUUAUUCCUCCUUGGGCUUGAGCAUUAAGUUAUAAUGUUGCAUGGUAGCAAUCAUAUUAAAUAUAUGAACUUCUGAAUGCUUGCAUACAAUACAAAUAAGAGAUAUACCUGCCUACAAUGGGAAAUAAAGCAACCUGAGAUUUUGCUUUUGGCUGAUUCCCUCUGCCAUUUGAAAAACAACAACAAAAAAACACACACACAGGGCCCAAUCCCAGGUCCAUUGACUUCAACAGGAGUCCUUCUAUUUAUUUCAGUGGAUAUUAGCGCAGGCCCCUAAUCAGGAAAAAAAAAAACUUUUCUACAUUAACUGAAUAAGUAGGGAUCAGGAAAUCAGAGGGACACAUUUAUCCAUGGUGUGCAUAUAUGUAGGUUGUUGUAAGCUCUUUGGGGCGAGGACUAUUUUUCAUUAUAUAUUUGUAAUGUAGCUGUGGAUCUCCUAUUAUACAUGUAAACAACUAAUCCUUUUUAAAAUCUGAAUAAGCUUGCUAUCUUAUGGCAGCAAUAUCCACAGGUUAAUUGUGCUAUCUAAAUAAGUAUUUCCUUUCAUCAGUUUUAGGUAUAUUGCAUUUGACUUUAAUGUGUAUUAAGUAUCUAAUAAA